rnacentral:rRNA from 1 species
CCUACGGGCGGCAGCAGUGGGGAAUAUUGCACAAUGGGGGAAACCCUGAUGCAGCGACGCCGCGUGAGUGAAGAAGUAUUUCGGUAUGUAAAGCUCUAUCAGCAGGAACGAGACAAGACGGUACCUGACGAAGAAGCCCCGGCUAACUACGUGCCAGCAGCCGCGGUAAUACGGAGGGGGCAAGCGUUAUCCGGAAUCACUGGGUGUAAAGGGAGCGUAGACGGCUGUGCAAGCCUGAUGUGAAAGGCCGGGGCCCAACCCGUGGACUGCAUUGGGAACUGUACGGCUGGAGUGCAGGAGAGGUAAGUGGAAUUCCUGGUGUAGCGGUGAAAUGCGUAGAUAUGAGGAGGAACACCAGUGGCGAAGGCGGCUUACUGGACUGUAACUGACGUUGAGGCUCGAAAGCGUGGGGAGCAAACAGGAUUAGAUACCCUUGUAGUC